GAGAGAGAGAGAGUGAGAGUUGGUAGGAGAGAGAGUGAGUUAGCAGGAGAGAGAGAGAGUUUGUAGGAGAGAGAGAGUUGGUAGGAGAGAGAGUGUUAGUAGGAGAGAGAUAGAGAGAGUUCGUUGGAGAACGGGAGAGAGUUCGCAGGAGAGAGAGAUUGUUUUUAGGAGAGAGAGAGAGUUGGAAGGAUAGAGAGAGUUAAUAGGAGAUCGAGAGAGUUAAUAGGAGAGAGAGAGAGUUAAUAGGAGAGAGAGAGAGUUAGUACGGGAGAGAGAGUUAGUAGGAGAGAGAGAGUUAGUAGGAGAGAGAGAGUUAGUAGGAGAGAGAGAGUUAGUAGGGGAGAGAGAGAGUUAGUAAGGGAGAGAGAGUUAGUAGGAGUGAGAGAGUUAGUAGGAGUGAGAGAGUUAGUAGGAGAGAGAGAGUUAGUAGGGGAGAGAGAGAGUUAGUAGGGGAGAGAGAGAGUUAGUAAGGGAGAGAGAGUAAGUAGGAGUGAGAGAGUUAGUAGGAGUGAGAGUUAGUAGGUGAGAGAGAGUGAGUAAGAGAGAGAGAGUUAGUAGGAGAUUGAGAGAGUGAGUAGGAGAGAGAGAGUUAGUAGGAGAGAGAGAGUUAGUAGGAGAGAGAGAGUUAGUAGGAGAGAGAGAGAGUUAGUAGGGGAGAGAGAGAGUUAGUAGGGGAGAGAGAGAGUUAGUAAGGGAGAGAGAGUUAGUAGGAGUGAGAGAGUUAGUAGGAGUGAGAGAGAGAGUAGGAGUGAGAGAGUUAGUAGGAGUGAGAGUUAGUAGGUGAGAGAGAGUGAGUAAGAGAGAG
rnacentral:lncRNA from 1 species